rnacentral:lncRNA from 10 species
CUCCUAACAGGAGCUCUCAAAAUCGGCGCUGGUGUGGAGAUGAGCCCUGCCUUGGGGACCACUGACCCGGUAGAUCACCUUGACCUACAAGAUUCCAGAUCUUUGCAAAAUGAGUUGUUGAAAUGUUUCAUAUGGUUGUAGGGCCUCUGGUAGAAGACCACGUCCCAAAGAUCAUUAACAUGGAUUCCAGGAAAUGAAAACGAAGAGAAGCUAGUGGCAAAACAAGAGGCGGGGCUGCCGGGCCUCCGGGAGAAGCUGAGCCUCAUCCACCUCCUUCUUCCCCUGCCUGCUGGAUAUUCAUGGAGGAACGGCCUGGCCCAUGCAUCGGGCUUGUGGAAAGCACGCUGGUCCUCGCACCAACAGUGGCAGAUGCACCCAGAGGACAAACGCACACCCCAAUGUCCUUGCAAAUACUGUGAGGGGCCUAUGACUAACUGAGCAGGGCAGACAAACUCCACCCUUCCAACUUCCGCCCCCGAGUGGGAUGUGGGCUUUGGUCCUGACACUUUUCCAUGCAGGAGCAUUGGAUUUCCUUUUGAAUUACUGUCAAGGGUGGAGGAAAAAAGUUCAGCUCCUGCAAUCAGCUGUUAUCAGCUUCCGUCAUAAUGACAUGUGACUGUGGUGGCAGGGGACUGACCCUGGGAUGCACAGCUAGCUUGGUGAUGGAUGAGCAGGUCAUCUGGACCACAUGCACUCCCAAGGCAGGCUCCCCGGGAAGAGGGUUCUUGCACAUAAACCUGGAUAGGUCCAACAGGACAGCUGCUGGGACGCAGACGCCAAGCCCACCCAAGCUCGCUCUGCAGUCUGAAACAAACUGCUUAAUUUGUGCUAUUGCCUACUUUGUUCAGAGGGAAGAAAGAUAUUUUCCCCCUUUCACAGAAAGGUAAGGAGAAGUGAAUCUAUUUCAAGAGUUGAUUUUUUAAAAAAUGGCAUUUACUUUCCUCUCUUCUAAUGAUAAAAAUGAUAUACGUUCACUGUAGAAAGUUAGGAAUAUAAAGGUGGUAUAACGAGGAAAAUGAAAACCUAGCUGUCAGCUCCCACAGCAUGAACUUUCUCCCACCCAAGUACUAACCAGGCCGGGCCCUGCUCAGCCUCUGAGAUGAGAGAACAUCCAGCAUGUUCAGGGUGGCAUGGCCACAGACCACAGCAGCAACUUUGUGUAUGGAAUUGGACUGACAGCUUUUUAUUUAUUAUUAUUUUUUGAGACAGGGUCUCACUCUGUUGCCCAGGCUGGAGUGCACUGGCAUGAUCACGGCUCACUGCAGCCUCAACCUCCCUAGGCUCAAGCAAUUGUCCCUUCUCAGCCUGCUGAGUAGCUGGGACCACAGGUGUGCUAUCACCCAUGGCUCAUUUUUUUUUUGCAUUUUUUUGGGUUGAGACGGGGUUUCUCCAUGUUGGCCAGGCUGCUCUAGAACUCCUGAGCUCAAGCGAUCCUCCCAAAGUGCUGGGAUUAUAGGCAUGAGCCACCAUGCCCCGGCUGACUGCUUCUUAAGAGAUCCCCUUGUCACCCGCCUCCAUGGCCAUGUUUCUGGCUGAAUAUGGUAAGGUUAUUAUUGAAUGACUGACUAGUGUUUUCCCACUCUUAUGUCUGGCCUUGAAGUCCUUGGCACAAGGAGGAAAUGAAAGAUGACCCAGGGCUAAAUGGUGACCUCCAGGAAGUGGGCCUCGCCACUGCCCGGCAGAGGUCCCAGGACUGAGACCGAGUCACACAGCGGGCAUUCCCUCCAGAAAGCCCAAAGCCGAUUCCCAAGACUGCAGAUCUGAGGCACUGGCAACACCCUCUCUACUGAGCCUCAUUAGCAUAUCUGAGGGAGGAGGGUCUGAAACCCUCACUCCAGGGAAGCUGGGCAGCCACCUGGCCCCAUUUGGCAGGCCUGCUCUGAUCCCAGGUCACCGCUCCAUGGGCCAUCUCAUCUGUCAAACACUUCCUGCACGCCAUCCACUCUAGGACAGAAAACCUGCUGUCGGCACAAACUCCAAGGCUGAAGCAGCCCAGGAAGACGCCUUCCUUUCUCCGCUGUUCACCUCAGUUCCUGCCCAGACAUUCUUUGGCUCUCUCCUUUCUCCAGCUCUUUCUUCUUUUCACCAUCUAUCUAUUUAUUAAAUACCUUUCCAACAUGGUGAUGUGAACCCUUACUAAUGUUCUUACACUCAGACCCAAUAACCUCACACUGCAGCUAUGAACACAUUUUAGACCUCCAGACAAAUACUCCCCAAUAUUCCCCGCCGUAUUAUUUAUAAUAAAGGAAGGUUGGAAAAAACUUUUAUGUUCAAAAAAUGAGAAAAUGGUUAAAUAUGUUAGGGCAUCAAUGUAAUAAAGUAUUAGUUCAUUAUUAACAUUUUAUCAUCUAAUUGGAAUGUUUGGACAUUGUUCAGAUUCUGAUUUGAAGAAUCUUUUUUUUUUUUUUUUUUUGAGAUGGAGUCUCGCUCUGUCCCCUAGGCUGGAGUGCAGUGGCACGAUCUCAGCUCACUGCAAGCUCCGCCUCCCGGAUUCAUGCCUAUUCUCCUGCCACAGCCUCCUGAGUAGCUGGGACUACAGGCGCCCGC